GCCAGUGUUGCUCAGUGGUUGAGCAUUGACCUAUGAAUCAGGAGGCCAUGGUUCGAUUCCAGGUAAGGGCA
rnacentral:tRNA from 1 species